AAUAAGAGUGGAAAUAUUACUUGUAUAGAAACAUGAUUGGAUGAUUCGUCUCUACUCGCCGACCGUAAAUUGGCGAACUACAAGUAAACUUUUUGGCGUG
rnacentral:ncRNA from 2 species